rnacentral:rRNA from 1 species
GACGAACGCUGGCGGCGUGCUUAACACAUGCAAGUCGAACGGAAAGGCCCCUUUGGGGGUACUCGAGUGGCGAACGGGUGAGUAACACGUGAGUAACCUGCCCUUGACUUCGGGAUAACUUCAGGAAACUGGGGCUAAUACCGGAUAGGAAUCCUUGCUGCAUGGUGGGGGUUGGAAAGCUUCGGCGGUUUUGGAUGGACUCGCGGCUUAUCAGCUUGUUGGUGGGGUAGUGGCUUACCAAGGCUUUGACGGGUAGCCGGCCUGAGAGGGCGACCGGCCACAAUGGGACUGAGAUACGGCCCAGACUCCUACGGGAGGCAGCAGGGGGGAAUAAUGCACAAUGGGCGGAAGCCUGAUGCAGCAACGCCGCGUGCGGGAUGACGGCCUUCGGGUUGGAAACCGCUUUCAGCAGGGGCGAAGCUUGUGGUGACGGUACCUGCAGAAGAAGCACCGGCUAACUACGUG